rnacentral:rRNA from 1 species
UGCCAGACUCCUACGGGAGGCAGCAGUGAGGAAUAUUGGUCAAUGGGCGCGAGCCUGAACCAGCCAAGUCGCGUGAGGGAAGACGGUCCUAUGGAUUGUAAACCUCUUUUGUCGGGGAGCAAAAGACGCCACGUGUGGCGUUCCGAGAGUACCCGAAGAAAAAGCAUCGGCUAACUCCGUGCCAGCAGCCGCGGUAAUACGGAGGGUGCAAGCGUUGUCCGGAAUCAUUGGGCGUAAAGAGUUCGUAGGCGGCAUGUAAAGUCAGGUGUUAAAGGCGCAGGCUCAACCUGUGUAUGGCACUUGAUACUUGCAAGCUGGAAUGCGGGAGAGGUAAGGGAAUUCCUGGUGUAGCGGUGAAAUGCUUAGAUAUCAGGAGGAACAUCGGUGGCGUAAGCGCUUUACUGGGCCGUAAUUGACGCUGAGGAACGAAAGCCAGGGUAGCAAAUGGGAUUAGAUACCCCUGUAC